CAGUAGCCGCGGUAAUACGUAGGGUGCGAGCGUUAAUCGGAAUUACUGGGCGUAAAGCGUGCGCAGGCGGUUGUGUAAGACAGGUGUGAAAUCCCCGGGCUUAACCUGGGAACUGCGCUUGUGACUGCACAGCUAGAGUAUGGCAGAGGGGGGUGGAAUUCCACGUGUAGCAGUGAAAUGCGUAGAGAUGUGGAGGAACACCGAUGGCGAAGGCAGCCCCCUGGGCCAAUACUGACGCUCACGCACGAAAGCGUGGGGAGCAAACAGGAUUAGAUACCCGCGUAGUCCCUGUCUCUUAUAC
rnacentral:rRNA from 1 species